CGGGGGAGGCCGGAUCCUGGGCUGUGUCCCGGCGCCCUGAGCUCCGGGGCCUGCGCCGUUGGAUUCGCGCUCCCGUCCCGCAGCCCCCU
rfam:Canis lupus familiaris chromosome 11, whole genome shotgun sequence.